rnacentral:tRNA from 1 species
GGCCGGUUAGCUCAGCGGUUUGAGCGCAGUGCUGAAAACAAUGACAACACUGAGGUUUGCGGGUUCGAUUCCUGCUUGGUCCC